CGGAGUGCCGGACGCUGUCGCGGCGGGGUGAGAGCCCCGUUCGAGGAAAGUCCGAACUCCCACAGGCAGCAUGCUCGCCAACCGCGAGGCGCGGCGACGCGACGGAAAGUGCAACAGAGAGCAGACCGCCUCGGCUUCGGCCGCGGCAAGGGUGAAAGGGUGCGGUAAGAGCGCACCGCUCGGGCGGCGACGCCCGGGGCCUUGGUAAACCCCAUGCGGAGCAAGACCAAAUAGGGAGACCGGCAAUGCGCACCGCCUGUUGCGCGGUCCAGCACCGCUGGACCCGGUUUCCGGGUAGGUCGCUCGAGGUGCACGGCAACGUGCAUCCCAGAGGAAUGACGGCGCCCGGCCAUCGGCCGGGAACAGGAUUCGGCUUACGAGGCACUCCGCUCU
rnacentral:RNase_P_RNA from 1 species